CUGGCCUGUAGUGGGAGGGAGGUGAGGCCGACUCAGCCGUGGCAACCGUCCCUGGGCUCCCACCAUGACAGUCUACACAGCCACGAAGCAGGAGCCCCGGCACGCAGGUGUAGAAGGCAGGACUUGACAACAGCCGGGCCGCCUGGACCUGGGACCAGGAGCAGAUGGGGCAGAAGGUAUCCAGGGGCCCCUCCAGUUUCCACCCUUUGGGAUUCCUCUUAUCACAUCACAUGCUCGCCUCAACCCUGGGAGGGACUGUCAGACAUCCUCUCUUUGAAAGAAACAGGUCCAGAGAGAUGAAGGGACUUGCCCAGAGCCACACAGCACGCAGGGGGCUCCCAGCAUCCCGGGUUCUCAGAAGCCACCCUCCUCUGGCUCCGUUUGCUGCCAUCUGUUCUCAUUUCUUCAAGACCCCAUGUUUCUCCUCUGGCUCAUCCAUGGCAGCCAACAUAUCCCCUCUGCCUUCCCUCAUCACAUAAAACCCCAGCUCUCUGGAGGAGGCACAACCCACAAGGGCCAGGCAUGGGAGAGGAUCCUCUCUAUCGGGCCCGCAGCUGAGACCCACGUCAGACAGCCCACCGUCCACUCCACGGAAUUCUGCUGCACCCACACGGCACAAGCAGUCCGCCUGGGGAGAUCCUUAAGGGACAAGUGAGGCGCGACUUCCUGACCAGCUUCGGACCCGACUGGAAGUCCAGAUCUGGCUCGGGCUCAAGCAAAGCAGCCAUGUGUGCCCUCCCCAGUUCCCAGCAUGCGGGGGCUGGAGCCCUCCCUCCCACGCCCCUCCCCCCAACUCCUCACCUUCCUCUGCCCGGCCAGCACUGUCAAGGGCACUGCUGUCUUGGGCCACCUGGAAGGGGGUGGCUUCUCACUGCUCCAGAGAACCAGGAUCUAGGAGGAAAAGGGGGUGUUCCUGAAGGCUGGGAGAACAGCUGUAUUUCUGAGUUUGGGAGAGUUUACUUGGAGCCAAGGUCCGUCCUUUGCUGCCCUGUUUUUACCUCUGGGCAUCAGGAAGGCAGGAAUUCUGGUGUGACCCGAAGUCCCCUCAGGAGGCUAUGUGGCUUCUCUGGAAGUGACACCUGACAGCGUGUGCCGGAAAGUGCUAACUGAAUCUGAAUCCGGGGCAGAAUUCUUUCCUGCUUUUUCUCGAAGUCCUCAGCAUCACCCCCACGGGCUUGGCGCUGAGAAAAUGACUGAUGGGGCAGAUGUGGCUAACGAGUUGCGAGUGCGACAUUCUUUCCGGACCCAGACUCCCCUUUAACACUGAAGGCAGCCACUGACCAUCACCCGGGCUGACACCUUGGCACAGGCUUCGAAAUCUAUUGGCCAGAGCUAUCCCUCUACAGAUGGGGGUAAACCGAGGCCAAGACUGGAGAAGGAACUUGUCCAAGAGCUCAGAGUCAAGCCUCAGAUUCAUCCCAGAAGCCCCUGCAGGGGAGAAGUCCAAACAGCAGGGUAGAAGAUGUGUCUGGAGAGAGGGAUGUGGAGAGGGAAUGGGGAUGAGGCAGGAGCCAAGCACCAUGGCUCCCAUCAUGGAAGUCUCCCUCACCUCCAGAGUGGUAUGGAUGACCUUCUCCACUGAGGAGAAGUAGGCAUCCCACAGAAACUGGGUCUGCUGACGCAGGGCAAGGACCCGGGUGGGGGGCAUCUUCUGGAGGGCAGCGAGGACCUGAGGUACAGAGGGAGGAAAGGAGAAGGCAUGGGGCCUUGUCAGGCUCUGACUGACUCUGAGAUGGGACCACCCAGGUUGGAGGUCUGGGAACCAGAAGCCUUCUCCCCACAGUUUUCCAAGCAGCCACCUUUGGCCAAGUCCCAGGUAAUAAUCAAGGUCACACAGAGUUGAGCCUAAAUGCCACUUAAUAACUGUGUGACUGUGGACAAACUACUCAACCUCUCUGAGUCUGUGUCCUCAUCUGUAAAGUGGGGAUAAUAACAGCACCUGCCUCAUAGGGCGGCUGUGGGAAUUAAGCUAGAUUAUACAGGGGCUCCCGGGUAGCUCAGUCGGUUAAGCAAAUGUCUGCCUUCGGCACAGGUCAUGAUCCUGGGGUCCUGGGAUGGAGCCCUGCCUCAGGCUCUCUGCUCAUCGAGGAGUCUGCUUCUUCCUCUCCCUCUCCUUUUCCCUCUCCCCCUCCCCCUACUUGUGUGCUCUCUCAUUCUCAAAUAAAUUUUUUUUAAACGUCUUAAAAAUAAAUAAAUAACUAAGACAAUAUACGUUAAGUGCUUGGCCUAUGGUAGCAGCUCAGUGCAGGCAGCUACUGUUACUAACUACCGUACUGUUCUCGCUUCUCAGGAGAUUCAAGGCGUACGCAGUUUUCUCAUUGUCGGGCAAAAGUAGUUUCAUCAGCUGGGAAAGUCACCGGGCAUUUUGCUUUCCCACCCCAACCUCCCUGGAGGCACUCAGAUUUUGGAUUUUUAUGGCUUUCCCUUAAACUGGUCGAGUCAUCUCGGCUGGGCCCGUGGAGAUCAUCUGGUCUAACUUAUCCCAUUGUACAGAUUGGGGAAACUGAGGCUGGAAAAGGCUCAGGACUUGCUCUCAAGCCGUCAGGAGUCUCUGCCUCUCUUUGAUCCUGUGGGAGCCCCAGAAGCUUGGGGCUUGGAGCAAAAUCAUGAAUAUACACAUACGGGGAGAUACGAACGAGGGAUGAGAUCAGCCUGGAGGCUGAGAUCCCAGGCUUCUCCCACAUCCUGGGUUCAGUCCCCACCCUGUGCGCAGGGCCCUGAGCUACCUGAAAUGGGAGCCUCUCAUCAGCCACGAUGGCCGCCUUGGUCCAAUCGAUGACCUCGGAGAAGGGCAGCUCCCACCGAGGGCUGAGAAGCACAGGGAUACAGCCGGCCUGGGGGAAAGGCAUCCACCGGGCUUCUCCUGGAAGAACUCACACGCUAAACAACAGAACAUUCUCUAACAGAAGCUGCCACAGCACCAGCCAGCUACAGCCCUCCUCCCUCUCCAACAAAGCCCUAAGGGACUGAGAAGCCCUAAGUUCAAGGCUUCCGAGAAUCCAAAGAGCUUUCUGAAUAAACUGUA